AUCCAAAAGGUUUAUCGAUCCCAAGGGGUACAGAUCCAUAAUAGACAUAUAGAGAUUAUUAUACGCCAAGUAACAUCAAAAGUGCGGGUUUCCGAAGAUGGAAUGUCUAAUGUUUUUUCGCCUGGGGAAUUAAUCAGACUAUUGCAAGCGGAACGAGCAGGACGAGCUUUGGAUGAAUCGAUCUAUUAUCGGGCAAUCUUAUUGGGAAUAACAAGGGCUUCCCUGAAUACCGAAAGUUUCAUAUCUGAAGCAAGUUUUCAAGAAACUGCUCGAGUUUUAGCAAAAGCUGCCCUACGAGGUCGCAUUGAUUGGUUGAAAGGCUUGAAAGAAAACGUAGUUCUGGGGGGGAUUCCAUUUUAA
rnacentral:rRNA from 1 species